rnacentral:rRNA from 1 species
AUUGAACGCUGGCGGCAUGCUUUACACAUGCAAGUCGAACGGCAGCACGGGAGCUUGCUCCUGGUGGCGAGUGGCGAACGGGUGAGUAAUGCAUCGGAACGUACCCAGUAGUGGGGGAUAGCCCGGCGAAAGCCGGAUUAAUACCGCAUAUUUCCUGAGGGAGAAAGCGGGGGACCUUCGGGCCUCGCGCUACUGGAGCGGCUGAUGUCGGAUUAGCUAGUUGGUGAGGUAAAGGCUCACCAAGGCGACGAUCCGUGGCUGGUCUGAGAGGAUGAUCAGCCACACUGGGACUGAGACACGGCCCAGACUCCUACGGGAGGCAGCAGUGGGGAAUUUUGGACAAUGGGGGAAACCCUGAUCCAGCCAUGCCGCGUGAGUGAAGAAGGCCUCGG